rnacentral:rRNA from 1 species
UACGUAGGUGGCAAGCGUUGUCCGGAUUUACUGGGCGUAAAGGGCGCGUAGGCGGCGGGGUAAGUCUGGUGUGAAAUCUCGGAGCUCAACUCCGAAAUUGCACUGGAUACUGCUCUGCUAGAGGGCUGGAGAGGAGAUCGGAAUUCACGGUGUAGCAGUGAAAUGCGUAGAUAUCGUGAGGAAGACCAGUGGCGAAGGCGGAUCUCUGGACAGCUCCUGACGCUGAGGCGCGAAGGCUAGGGGAGCAAACGGG